AGUGAACGCUGGCGGUAGGCCUAACACAUGCAAGUCGAACGGCAGCACAGUAAGAGCUUGCUCUUACGGGUGGCGAGUGGCGGACGGGUGAGGAAUACAUCGGAAUCUACUUUUUCGUGGGGGAUAACGUAGGGAAACUUACGCUAAUACCGCAUACGACCUACGGGUGAAAGCAGGGGAUCUUCGGACCUUGCGCGAUUGAAUGAGCCGAUGUCGGAUUAGCUAGUUGGCGGGGUAAAGGCCCACCAAGGCGACGAUCCGUAGCUGGUCUGAGAGGAUGAUCAGCCAACACUGAAACUGAGACACGUCCCGGACCCUGACGGGGGGCGGCAGGGGGGAAUAUGGAAAAAGGGGCGAAAGCUGGACCCACCCAUACCGGGGGGGUAAAGAGGGCCUGCGGUUUGAAAAGCCUUUUUGUGGGAAAAAAAAAGCAGCGGGUUAAUACCCCGCUGUUCUGAGGGAACCAAAAGAAGAAGCACCGGCAAACUGCGU
rnacentral:rRNA from 1 species